rnacentral:tRNA from 1 species
GGGAAGUUGGCUCAGUGGUAGAGUGUUUGCCUUGCAGGCAUGAGGCCCUGGGUUUGAUUUCUCA